rnacentral:lncRNA from 1 species
GCAAAGGCAAGGAGAAAUCCUUGAUAGAAGAACAGUCGGUUCAAGAAGAGCCGAGCCAAUCGAGUGAAAGUGAAGAAUCGGCCGAUGAAGCCGAGAUGUAGCCACUUUCUUUAAAAAGAAUUUCUUGAUAGAAAAACAUUCGGUUCAAGAAGAGCCGAACUAAUCGAAUAAAAGUAAAGAAUCGACUAAUGAAGCCGAGAUAUAUGUGGCUGGGAUGAUAAAGCGCCGUUUUCCUAAAGCCGACCAAGACCAGCGAAACUAAAGCUUCGGUCUCGGCUGUGCUUUUUAACAGUCGAUUUGACACCAAUAGCCAUCCGA